AUUGAACGCUGGCGGCAGGCCUAACACAUGCAAGUCGAGCGGAUGAGGGGAGCUUGCUCCCUGAUUUAGCGGCGGACGGGUGAGUAAUGCCUAGGAAUCUGCCUGGUAGUGGGGGAUAACGUUCCGAAAGGAACGCUAAUACCGCAUACGUCCUACGGGAGAAAGCAGGGGACCUUCGGGCCUUGCGCUAUCAGAUGAGCCUAGGUCGGAUUAGCUAGUUGGUGAGGUAAUGGCUCACCAAGGCGACGAUCCGUAACUGGACUGAGAGGAUGAUCAGUCACACUGGAACGGAGACACGGUCCAGACUCCUACGGGAGGCAGCAGUGGGGAAUAUUGGACAAUGGGCGAAAGCCUGAUCCAGCGAGGCCGCGUGUGUGAAGAAGGUCUUCGGAUUGUAAAGCACUUUAAGUGGGGAGGAAGGGCUGCUGGUUAAUACCCUGCAGUUUUGACGGUACCAACAGAAUAAGCACCGGCUAACUUCGUG
rnacentral:rRNA from 1 species